UGAUCACUGAGUUGUUUCUUCUCUUCGAGUGUUUCUUUGAUUUAUAGAUUUGUUUGACUAGGAUUUGGGCCUUCAUCUUUUGAAUUAUAUGUUCGACAGAAAUACAAGCCAGAGAGAAAGUACUUGAAUCAACAUUGAGAAAUUCUAUUAAAAAAAUCCAAGUCAAAGUAAGGACUGUAGUUCGUGGCUUAAAAAUUGGAUUUUCUAGGGUCAAGCAAGGAUGUGUUGUUCGUAGAAAGUAGUGACCCCCGGAAUCCACACCCUGCGACACUGGAGAAAGUAAUGAAAAUGCCUCAUGAAUUUAUAGAGUUCUGAAAACUGAGGGUAUAUUAUCUCUAUCUCAUUUGGUCAGGUAGUAAAAGUAACUUUUGGUUUAUUUUUUAUUUGUAAAUUGUAAGAGCAACAUGA